UGGACAGAUUAUUGUAUUCGACUGUAUUCACGGUGUGAAACAGGAGAUUACACUGUUUUUAAACGGAAAGUGAAUCAAUUAACAUAAUAGACUCUA
rnacentral:pre_miRNA from 1 species